AUGAACGCUGGCGGCGUGCCUAACACAUGCAAGUCGAACGAAGCGUCCGCCCGAAGAAGAGGAGUGCUUGCACAAAUCGGACUCAAUUGGGAUGACUUAGUGGCGGACGGGUGAGUAACGCGUGGGUAACCUGCCUCACGACAGGGGGAUAACAGUUAGAAAUGACUGCUAAUACCGCAUAAGCGCACACGUACCGCAUGGUAGAGUGUGAAAAACUUUCGUGGUGUGAGAUGGACCCCGCGUCUGAUUAGCCCAGUUGGCAGGGUAACGGCCUCCAAAGCAACGAUCAGUAGCCGGCCUGAGAGGGUGAACGGCCACAUUGGGACUGAGACACGGCCCAAACUCCUACGGGAGGCAGCAGUGGGGGAUAUUGCACAAUGGGGGAAACCCUGAUGCAGCGACGCCCGCGUGAGCGAUGAAGUAUCUCGGUAUGUAAAGCUCUAUCAGCAGGGAAGAAAAUGACGGUACCUGACUAAGAAGCUCCGGCUAAAUACGUGCCAGCCGCAGC
rnacentral:rRNA from 1 species